UACGAAGGGGGCUAGCGUUGCUCGGAAUCACUGGGCGUAAAGGGCGCGUAGGCGGAUCUUUAAGUCGGGGUGAAAGCCCAGGGCUCAACCCUGGAAUUGCCUUCGAUACUGAAGAUCUUGAGACCGGUAGAGGUAAGUGGAACUGCGAGUGUAGAGGUGAAAUUCGUAGAUAUUCGGCAAGAACACCAGUGGCGAAGGCGGCUUACUGG
rnacentral:rRNA from 1 species